UCCGGCCGGGCGCGGGGCGCGGUGCACCACUGGCUCGCCGCCCGGCCCGGCAUGGAGGAGCGCGGCGGUGCCGAGCCCACGCCGGGCUGCAGCGGCCUGGGCCCAGGCGGCGUUCGCGGCGGCGGCGCCCACUCAUGGGCUCCGGAGGACGCCUGGAUGGGCACCCACCCUAAGUAUUUAGAAAUGAUGGAAUUAGAUAUAGGAGAUGCCAGCCAAGUUUACAUAGCAUUCUUGGUUUACCUGGACCUCAUGGAGAGUAAAAGUUGGCAUGAAGUGAAUUGUGUGGGCUUACCAGAUCUACAGCUCAUCUGCCUUGUCGGUACUGAGAUAGAAGGAGAAGGAUUACAGACUGUGGUGCCUACACCCAUCAGUGCUUCCCUUAGCCAUAACAGGCAGCAGAGCCACCAUGAUGAACAAGAAGUUCUUCAUCUGGAGGACUGCGGCUCGGCUGGAGGGAGGCAUAUAUAAACAGCUAGUAGGUUUAACACAGAAGGCAACAGAAGCCCAGAGAGGUAAACUGACUUACCUAAGGCCACACAGCUACUUAAUAACACAUUUGAGAACAGACUCAGUCUCCUGACUUCCAACUCCACUACUUACUGGGAUGGCAUCUGUGUUGGGGGUUUGCUCUACACUCAGAACCUCCAUGGCCGUUAGCCUGACAGGUAGUUCAUUCACCUCUCUCACUUUGCAAUCUCCCCCAAGGGACUUUUAAGUUCCUGGGGAACGCUGUAUGUGGAAUAAAAUGCAAGGUUCCUGGCCUAGAAUCAGAUGGCACCAAGAAAAAUCCUGGAGAAAAUGACGCACCUCGUGCACGUCCCCUUCGAGAGGGCAAUUAUGGCUGGAGAAGAAUGGGCAGAGGAAUGUAUCAGUCAUCUAUCUCACAAGAAUGCUCUUGACCUAAAACAGCUCUUCUUUUCUCAAGAAAGCAGCCACACUGAGUCUGGCUCUCACAAGUCUGUCUUGCAAAUUCUCAUGCACAACUUCUUGAAUUGAUAUAUAUUCCCAUCGGGUGCUUCAGAGAAGCUCUGACCUUUUUCUCGACAGGCAAAAAUGUGCAUUUUGGCACCAGAUUAUCGGAUGGAAAAAUACAGGCAUUUUCCAAGCCCUAAACACAGAGUGUGCCAUCUAUUAGUUUGGAUUUCUUCCUUAACUAUCAUCAUACUAAUAUGUGGUGGUUUUUCCAAGAAGAAAUGAAUCCAAAUCUAUUUUGGACUCAGAAUCCCGGAAGCCUGGGUUUUAUCACUGGCUGGUCACAGAUGCACUGAAAAUGGAUUCUGAUUUUGGGGAAUCCAAACUGAGAUGGGCAUAUUUUGCUACCUGAAAUGGCCUGGACCUAUAUUUGCUCUUAAGGAGAGCAAGAAUUUGGAGUACAGAAUUUCUGACAGCUGCUGCUACCACCUAGAAAUUGUUACUGAACAACAUGAAGCAAUAUGGCAAGGCUGAAACUGGCUUGUUUUCUCCGAAGACUUAAAGAAAUUUGGAGGCGUCAAUCUUCACAUUCCUCAUGGUGGAAGGCUUAAAGAGCAAGCCACAUCCGAGCUGGCCUUGAAAACUCUGCCUGGCUGAAGUUCCCAUUGUCACCUUUUUCAGGAAUUGCCUCCUUUCCUUAAGACGGUCUGACUAGGUUUGUAACUCAAAUGGCUUUCAUCAAAACAACACCCUGCACCAGGUGCUGGCCAUUCAGUGACCUGUGACCGAGCUGUGCCUUACCUACUGUCUUUCUGGACCUCUGUGCCAGCCUCUGCAGCCAGAUUAGUUCUUUCAGAGCUUGCACUGGGUCCCGGCUUCUCCUCAGCAACAGCAGUCCAGGGAUGACAGGUGCCAUGCUUUCUGCACAAGUCUUCAUCUGCGGAAACAAGAGGGCUUAUUGUCCGUCCUUCCUGACAUUUCUCACUGCCACUCUGCACUAGACUCCAUUCAUGUUCACUACCUGGAAAUCCUGGACCAGGGGAUAAGCAUCCCUUACCCCAUUUUCAGGUAAAAUCACACCAGUUUUCCUUGGGAGAUGAACUCUCCAUCACUGAAUGAAUACUUGAUGACCUACCCUACUGAAUUAAAGGUGUGGAAAGUAACAUGAGCCAGACCAGCUUUACAGAUGGAAACACUGAAUCUCCAAGAGGCGGUGAAAGAGGCCCACGGUCCCACCUUAGGAGGCGAGAAGGAGGCACACACCUGCCUGCCCCCGGAAUGGACACUCUCCGUCGUACCCAGACACUGCCUCCACCGACGCGGAACACAUACAGGACCCGCAGUAGUUUCGGUUACAUAUAAAGUGGGUUAUAAAAACGUCAUUUAGUGCCCUGUAAUAUGCAUUCUAUAGCCUUGUGAUGGGGAAUGAAUGUGCAGAGCCAAGGAAGUCGUGUACAUUUUGAAAUGAUCUUCCUGGGAAGAAGCACACUGUUUGUCAAUAUCAAAUCUUAUCUCGUUUGAAGUUCCCAGACUCUCUGGAGCUCUAAUAAGAAGUAGCUUGUUAAUCUUUGAAAUACAAAUGCUGAUCAGCAGAGGUUUUUUUUUUUUUUAUUUUCCCUCUUCUGUCGUUUAGGGCCUCUGUGGGAGGGAAGAUAAUGUUAACAUAUGCAUGCUUACUCUCUUACAGAAAACCAUCUCUUUAUUUACCUGAGCUUCUCCUCAUGUCCCUGGACAAGUAAUUAAACCAAAUCAUUGACCUCUUCUGCAGCA